AGAUCCUCGCUGAUAACAAAGCUGCUUUGUGGAUCAGUGUCGCCUCUGUUUACACUGCAGCCUCGGACGAGAAGAGAAAACGUAAGCUGGGUUUGGUGAAUGGCUUCUCUCACACCUUCGUAUUGCCAUCCGGGAAACUGGCAAUCCUGUCUCUAAACCUUUCGAGUACAGCCUAGUUUGACCAGGGCGGGCCCCGCAUCGCUGUCGCCGUGUUCCCGCUCCGAGGGCCUCUUGCUGGACUCCAGCAGCUCCACGCCAGCCUCUGCUCUCCCUACGACCACCGGUCUAUGCGCAGCCAAGCCUUCCGGAAGGGUUUUCCUGAAAUGUUAUUAUACACACGUUGAUGUGCCUCCCUCCGUUGAACACAAGCUCCCUUCUGAAAUCGAGGAACUGCUGUGCCUUGUUUAGCUGCUUUGCCCCAGUUCCUCAGAUAAGGACCAGCGCGAGGCGAGUUCUCACACGCGUCAGGGUGGAGAAGGCUGGACGGGGGCUGGCUGCACCCCGGGGUAACUAACAUCUACCCAACCUUCACCUCACCCCGCCGCAGAGAUGGGCAGCAGCGGUUGUGCACCAGGCUGCCGUCUUCAGAUCACCUCAGCUGCUCUUGAGGGCUCAACAGUAGCACUAAAACUACCUGAGGAGGGGAAUUUAAAAUGUGCAUCAUUUUAGCAAUAAACUUCGGCGAGUACGCGAAGGUGCACCGUCACAGCGACUGCAGCAUAGUCGCGGAAAGAACCCCAGAUACUGAUUUUUCUAGCUGCUUUGUGUCCAAGAUGGACCUGUGACCCAAUCCUGGAGGAGCUGUGAGGGGCCGUGGCUGGAGUCGGGGCUGAGGAAUCAACAGGAGGCAAACAUGGAGAGAUCCCGCGACUUCCAAUCUGCUUGUUGGAGUCAUCACGCGAAGAUGCUGAUGCCUUGCUGCGGGUGUCAGGUGUUUGUUCCGGGGACGGGACAGUGACUACAUGAGGCAGGAUCAGAAAAGGACACCUCGAUGGCUUCCCCAGGAGGCUCCGUGGAGAGCUGCGCGCAGAGAGGCAAGCAGAAGAGACCAGGUGGGUCUGACCUAAGCAAACUCUUCCUUUGAGAAAAUGUCUGAAAGAAUGGACAAAGGACGGGGACGCCCAGGACCCAGAGGGGGAGCUUCUCCGGACAGAGGCGGGCAGAGUUUGACAGUGGAUACAAGGAAGUCCGCUGGAGAUGCGGUGGGGAGUCCCAGGCCGGACCUUGCGGACCAUUCCCGGCCGCAGCUCCUUCUAAGGCGCCUGGCAUCCAGCUCUGACGGGAAGGUCCCAGUCACCCUGGGGCCCUCCCAGUGCCUGCGUCGCAGAGCCUUUGCACAGCACCAAGCGUUUGGACGCACACCCCAGCCGCUAGCCACGGUGGUCACCAAAGGCGCCCAUUCUUUCGGCCUGCAGGUCCCAUCUGCCCUGGGGACACCACCGCCACCCCCGGGGGGGGGCACCUUUACAGGCAGCACAGAGACAGCGCCCUCUACAGGCUGCUUCCGACGGGGCCCUACUGCCUGCUGGGGUUCUCUCCGCCGACCUGCGUCUUCCUAACCUCAGAGACUCAUUCCUCACCUACAGACGCGGUCUAUGACAUUUUUUACUCCACUGAGCUCCAUCUCCUCUACAAAAGAGGGAAGAGUAAGAGAAGUAGGUGAGGUGAAAGUGAAAGUUGUGUGUCCCUCGGAAAGAAAAGCGUAAGGCUCAACAGAAACAAGGGGUACUUGACUGUGCUGGUACUGGUGAGAGAGACUCUACAACAAGGCAUCGGCACCACGUACGAUUUUCACUGCUUUAACGUCAGCCAAUAAAAUGGCUCAUCUGGACUGUGAGCUGACCACAUGAGAAGCAAGGGCUUCAACCUCAGCCCAGACCUCCCCACGGAUGAGUGCACAGCUGGAUGGGCUAUGGACGGUGGGAAAUCAUGGAAGAUAAACAGAACCAUAAGACAGAAACCAACAGACGGGACUGGGGGGCAGAGAGAAAGGAGGCCGGUGAGACCGGCUGAGGGGGACGCAGGAGGCAGGGUACCCAUCACUCAUUUCUGUUCAUCUCACCUUCCCUCCAUGUGAGAGCUGCUCCCCCCACCCAGAGCUCCGCACCUCCUACACCAUAAGGAAAAUGGCACGUCCAUGACUGUGGGGGCCCUGGCCGCUGAGCCACAGUGACUGGACCACAGUCGGUCACGGACCCAGGAUGGACACGAAACCCAGCAGAGCACGGGGGUUCUGCGAGGUUUUCCUUUGGAGCCAAGGACCCGUGUGCCUUCUCUUGCGAGAUGAAGAACCUGUCAGCAGUCGUAUUUCCCACAGCGGCCUGUGUCGUCUGCAGGAUAUUAAGCCAACACAUCAAAAGGAGAAGCAGCACACAGCUCAGGAUCGAGGGCGGCGAGGGUCCGCAGGGGUACUGCGCGGCCCUGGACUUGCCUUGUCCAGAGCUGAUUCAUCCUUGGCCCUUCCCAGCACAGGUGCCUGCUCCCUCUCCGAUUCUUAACGUAUUAGGUUACUGUCUCUCGCACCCAGGAUGCUCACCACUGCCCUGUGCAGGUCUGAGCACUUCCAUCCGGAGUGUCUGGAGACAGGCUCAUCCUGCUAACUUGCUCCUCCCCACCCGCCACACCCAGCCAGAGACCUUGCCCUGGCUCCAACCCCGGCUGGAAGAAUAAACGACCUCAUUUUCGACUGCUCUACACUGGGUGCAGUCUCCAAGCAACCAAAGCCACAAACAGCCACCAUUCACCACCAGGUUGGCUAAAGCGAAGGGCAGAAAGGGUAUUUUGGAAGACGGCACUCAUUUUCCCAUAGGCUUCAAUAAUCAUUUUAGAGAUGGGUGACAGAGGAAGCCAUUAAAGCAAGAAUCAGAAGCACUCAGUCUAGUCCCGGGACCUGUGGUUUUUGUUUUGCUCUGUUUCUAAAUCAUGCAGUGUGCUUGCUCUGUGUCAUGCACCGCUUUAAACAUUUUAUUAAAUCAAUCUUCAACUACCUACCAAAACAGUAGGUAGGUAAUAUUACAUAUCCAUUUUAAAAUUCAAUAAACAGAGGCUCAGAGAGUUAAAUAACCUCCACAGCACAACAGCGCUGGUAAGUGGACUAGGGCAGGAGCAGUUUUCCUGUAUUUGAAUUUGAGGACUCGCAUUUCUCAUACAUGAAAUAUAAAUUAUAUAAUAGGCUUUAUGCUGGAGAACAAGGAGAGCGUGGGUUUUGGGGUUAGAAUUCUUUGCCCUGGUUCCUUCACGUGUAAAAUCCCCACCACCUUUCUCUGGGUGGAUGGAUCCAGAGGCUAUGUCACACGGCUAGAAGACCCUGUCAGGCACCCCUCCGUCCAUGGACUCAGGGGACUGACAGGCCGUCAUCUUCACCAACGCAGUAUACACAGAACACUGGAUCACUGGCACAGGGAGGCGGAUGCCACGCAGGAGGGAGCAGCACAAUGACCAGAUCACCAUGAUCUUACAGGAAGAAUAAAACGUGUCAGAAUACGCUCCUCCUUCCAGGGUCCACUUACCUGGUGGCCGCAGAGGCCAGGGAUCCCGCACGCCCUCAGUGUCACACAAGAGCCACUUCGGGUCUGCUGUGGCUUCGGCUAGGGGUUGUAAUCACUGAAGCUAGGGUCCGACAGCAUCUGGCGUGGAGAGCACAGUGGCACAGUGGGCACUGAGGCUCAGGCCUGCCUGUCCCUCGGGGCUGACCGUCUCGCGUCCCUGAAUCAGGAGAGUGAGACGUCUGGCAUAGACGUGGCGGUCAGACAGCUCUCCCGGCUGUCACACAGGACCAGGCCGGCUGGAGCAGAGCCCGCCCAGGACCACGCUGGCCAGCUGAGGCAGGGCAGAAGCCCAGCGCAGGGAACACCUGGUGAGCCGGCUCCCCAUGCAGAAGGAAGAGACUUCCUCUAGGCCUGGCUUCCCCUUGGGACAGAAACAUUCUGACCCAGCCUCACAGGAGCUGCAGAGAGUGGCAGAAAUGGACGAGCAGGGCCGGACACGGGACAGGGUCGGGCACAUCGUGGUUCACUUCGAACCCUCUUUGCCGCACGAAUUCCGGCCAGGCGGCGGCACGCUGGCGGUGAGGCGCACUUCCUGCAGCGCCUGGUCCUGGGUUCAAGCCGCCUGCCCCGCUCCCUGGGGACCUGGUCCUUACUCGGUUGUGAUAGCCUCGCGGUGGGGGAACAACAGCCGACAGCCAAGGAGGCCUCCUCCCAGCAAGCGUUGGCUGCGCAGCAGGAUGACACUUUGCUAGUGUGCCUGCUUUACUGUGCCACACACACAGGAAAACGUGGCUUCCCGGGAGCACAGUGCCAGGCUAAGAAAGUGCCAGAAACGGACCUGGAAAACAAACGUUCGGUGCCUGUCAAACUGAACUGUUAAAUACAUUUGGCCAGCAGAGGGCCAUCUGGGCCCCAUGAAACUACCUAAGGGAAAACACCAGAAACCACAACAAAAAUGAAAGACCUCGGUGGCCUGACAUCGGACGGCCUCAGCAUUUGGUACUUGGGCUCACUGGUCAGUCCAGGGUCCUCAGAGUCACAAGCUCCUCCCUCCUCCCACUGUCUCCCACAUAAUGAAUGUACACUUUGAUGUUCCCAAACAGCAACAUCCACAAAGAAGACUGCGUUGUUGCUGGCCUCAGGACCGGCCUGGGCAGUCCACCGUGCUGCCGUCUGGCUGGUCUCUGGGGAGGAGAAAACCAGGGCAGCUGGCACCUCUUUUCUCCUUGUUUGGACGAUCCUGCAAGGUACGUUUCUUCCCCUUCACUGUGGAACAGAUUCUUCCUCCAUAAAUCAAACAAAUCAAACAAUUCCUGCAGCUGAACCAGUGCCCCCAGAGUGUGGCCCCUCAGUCACCACACAGGAGGACGGGGCGGGCCAGACACUUGUAGAAUUGUGCAGACCCUGGGCCGUACUAGUGCUGAGAAAGGAGAGCACACACGGUGCCAGCCGCCCCAUGAGAGGGCCCGUGUCUGCCUUAGACUUCCCUGUCCCUGGUUCUCUCACGAGACACGGAGUGAGGGAUACAUCAAGAAGGUGGGAACCCAAGUCGGCCUCUUUUGUCACCAGUAAAGUGGAAAAACACGGGAUGUCCUGGAUUUGCAAGAUCUCCCUGAAUGAGGGUAGAAAUCUGUGCGGCAAACAUCACCAGAUCAAUCAGUAAUUUCAGAAUCUUAAACAGUCAAACAAAAGAAUAAAUAAGAAAAAGCAGGGAGCAAGUGCCUGCUUAUUUUAGACAUCUGUCUGCCGACGAGAACAUCCCAAACUUGCCUGAGUUCGAGUGUCUGGGAAGAUGCUUUUGAAGGUGGCUUUGGGCUCCCUGACAUUCUGAGGCAACCUCCAGCGGCACUGGAGGCUCUAAGCUCUGCGAAGCGCACCUGGGUUUUCUCUGUCCUUCUCCAGAGGAAGUUCCACUCGGUGUACGAGCACAAAAACAACUACUGGGGGAAAGCACCCGAAUAACACAUCCAUGUUUUCUCAGCACAGGGAGCCCCACGGGCAGCCCUAAGUCCAGCAAGCAGCCGGCUCUUCCUAAGGAAUUGACCAUAGAGCAGAACUACUCCAGAGAUGGGCCAGGGACUGGCACCGCUGUUACGAAGCGAGACAGAAAUGUAAAUUCUCAGACUUCACACCAGACCCACUGACUCGGAAUACCCGGGGAGGGGCCCAGGCACCUGUGUGAACAGGACCCAGGUGACUCAAGUGACGUGGGCACGUAGGUGCACUGUCUGGUUUUUCCUAAGCCUUUCUGACGAUGGUUACAACUUCCCAGGCCCUGGGUGGGACAGAGCCUUGAAGUUCAGAUGUACAAUUAUUCCCAGGUGACUAUUAUCAAACAGGUUCAGGAGACUCUAGGGCAGGGAUGGUGAACCUUUUAGAGCUUUCAAUGAUACCACCAGCCACUGUGGCAUGCAUGCCCUGGGUUUGCCCCCACUGCUCUGGGUGCUUUCCCUAUCUCCAACAGCUGUGAUGGAGGCAAGAGCUCUGUUAAGAGAGACACGUUAAGAAUCGCUGGCAGAGGUUUUUAAAGAUGGACCCUCUGGUCUUUCCCCAAACUCUUGAAAAUCACUGCUUUUAGCAAGUGGUCAUGAAACGCUAUUCUACAUCUUUUGUUUCCAAAGUUGGCAGUGUGCUCUACCCUGUCAAGAAUCACAGCUCUCCCCUGCCACACACAGAAGUCACCACCAUGACGGCUCUGUGCUGGGAGGGCCCCUCAGGGACUUGAUCUUUAUGUGGUUAGCAAUCAGUGGGCCCUUAAAAUGGUGCUGCUCUGUUCUCUGACAGUGCCUGUAACUAAAGGCUCCCCACAGGUCCUCGGAGCUGGGCCUCGGACACGCUGGCGUGGCCUCUUCACCAGCCACCAGCCAAGCUCCUGAUGAAGGCCCCACGGCCUCCCUCCUCUGCACACAGGCCUUCCCUCAAACUCCACCACAGGGAGGGAUUACGGAGUCCACAUGUUGAUCAGCGGCUCCUAAUCAAUUAAUGAAACACGGACUGACUGUGUCUACCUGAAGUGGACACCAGAAGCUGUUUUGAAUUCCAGCUAUAGACGACCCUCAUUUCCCAAAAUGCAGAGCAGGACCAGGUACAUUCCAGGGCACACACUGUUUACUAUGCACUGUCCUGGGAAAAUCUUUUUUGGUCAUCUAAUUCUUGUUCUUUGCUUUUUUACAGUGACAUGAAACUGGGGGAGAAACCUCUUUUCCCAGAGUUUUCACUUUAAGACCUUUCAAAUCUAUUGGAAAAGUUGGUAAUUCCUCCAGUGAAUUUACAAUUUUAGUUACGUGUAAUUCAGUUCAACUUCCAUCUCCACUUCUAAUAGCUGUUCUGUGAUUAGACUCUGGAGAAUGAGUUUUCAGUUAAGUGACUUCCAGGUGUCCUCAGAGUUGUCUGUCUAUUCCAUACUUAAGAUUGUGUAAAACAGGUAUUUACUAUACUUCAGUAAAGAUGAGGGAUCCAGUCAGCUGUGAAUCUGGUAAGUGCGUCCAUUACAAGAGAGCAGUAAGUGCUCUCCGCAACAUGCCCUUACAUGAUUGCUCCCCGCAGUCUGUGCUGGGGUGUUUGGUCUCGCUGGACAAUGGCUCACAGUGCCAGUGUUCCACGUGUGAGGUCUAGCCCUCGGUUUCCCUGUAGGGUUCUCAGUGGGCUCCAGCGACGUGGAAAUGUCACAUUGAGGUACUGGGAAGCUUUACUGCUUCCAAAGCAGUCCAAGUGCACAGGCAGUGUGUGGGCCAUCACUCUCCUGGCACAUCGGCACGCACUGCCUUUAUUGCUUUCACUUUAGAAUACUUUAUUUAUAAAGAUUAAAGCCUUUGUUCUUCACAGAAAAGGAUCACUGUGCUCUUCCACGCUCGCUUUAUGAUUAGGCUUGAAAAGUAAACUUGUCAAUUUUCAAACAGAAAAGCUUUCCUGAGAUUUGGGCUGAAACUGCACUGAACCUCAGAAUAACUAAAUAUGAGGAGAAACAAUGUCUUUACAGGACCAACUUUUCUAAUCCA